rnacentral:rRNA from 1 species
GAUGAACGCUGGCGGCGUGCCUAAUACAUGCAAGUCGAGCGAACAGACGAGGAGCUUGCUCCUCUGACGUUAGCGGCGGACGGGUGAGUAACACGUGGAUAACCUACCUAUAAGACUGGGAUAACUUCGGGAAACCGGAGCUAAUACCGGAUAACAUGUUGAACCGCAUGGUUCAACAGUGAAAGACGGUCUUGCUGUCACUUACAGAUGGAUCCGCGCCGCAUUAGCUAGUUGGUAAGGUAACGGCUUACCAAGGCAACGAUGCGUAGCCGACCUGAGAGGGUGAUCGGCCACACUGGAACUGAGACACGGUCCAGACUCCUACGGGAGGCAGCAGUAGGGAAUCUUCCGCAAUGGGCGAAAGCCUGACGGAGCAACGCCGCGUGAGUGAAGAAGGUCUUCGGAUCGUAAAACUCUGUUAUUAGGGAAGAACAAAUGUGUAAGUAACUAUGCACGUCUUGACGGUACCUAAUCAGAAAGCCACGGCUAACUACGUG